rnacentral:rRNA from 1 species
AACGGGUAGACCACAGGGAUUGCCUUAGUAACUGCGAGUGAAGCGGCAAAAGCUCAAAUUUGAAAUCUAACGUUAUUGACGUUCGAGUUGUAAUUUGGAGGGAUAUCUUUGGAGCUGGUGCUGUCCUAAGUUCUUUGGAACCAGACAUCAUAGAGGGUGAGAAUCCCGUGCCUGGAUGGCUGUUCCGCUCCGUGUAAAGUAUCUCCGACGAGUCGAGUUGUUUGGGAAUGCAGCUCAAAAUGGGUGGUAAAUUUCAUCUAAAGCUAAAUAUUGGCGAGAGACCGAUAGCGCACAAGUAGAGUGAUCGAAAGAUGAAAAGCACUUUGAAAAGAGAGUUAAACAGUACGUGAAAUUGUUGAAAGGGAAGCGCUUGAGACCAGAUUCAGCCGGCGGUCAUCAGCCAUAUUUUUAUGUGGUGCACUUGCCGUCGGUUGAGCCAGCAUCGGUUUUGAUGGCGGGAUAAAGGUUUCAGGAAUGUGGCUCCUCGAUUUAGAGGAGUGUUAUAGCCUGGAGCGCAAUGCCGCCCGUUGGGACCGAGGACCGCGCUUUUGCUAGGAUGCUGGCUAAAAGGUCUUAAGCGGCCCGUCUUGAAACACGGACCAAGGAGUCUAACAUCUAUGCGAGUGUUCGGGUGGAAAACCCUUGCGCGUAAUGAAAGUGAACGGAGGUGGGAACCAUAUAUAAGGUGCACCAUCGACCGAUCCUGAAGUUUACGGAAGGAUUUGAGUAGGAGCAUAGCUGUUGGGACCCGAAAGAUGGUGAACUAUGCCUGAAUAGGGUGAAGCCAGAGGAAACCUUGGUGGAAGCUCGCAGCGGUUCUGACGUGCAAAUCGAUCGUCAAAUUUGGGUAUAGGGGCGAAAGACUAAUCGAACCAUCAAGCGGA